UAAACGCUGGCGGCGUGCUUAACACAUGCAAGUCGAACGGAGUAGUCUCCCGAGACCGCGGAAGCCUAGCUUCCAAAGAAUCAUUGAGCUACUAGUGGCGGACGGGUGAGUAACGCGUGGAUAACCUGCCUCGUACUGGGGGAUAGCAGUUGGAAACGACUGAUAAUACCGCAUAAGCGCACAGUGCCGCAUGACACAGUGUGAAAAACUCCGGUGGUACGAGAUGGAUCCGCGUCUGAUUAGCUAGUUGGUGAGGUAACGGCCCACCAAGGCGACGAUCAGUAGCCGGCCUGAGAGGGUGUACGGCCACAUUGGGACUGAGACACGGCCCAAACUCCUACGGGAGGCAGCAGUGGGGAAUAUUGCACAAUGGGGGAAACCCUGAUGCAGCGACGCCGCGUGAGUGAUGAAGUAUCUCGGUAUGUAAAGCUCUAUCAGCAGGGAAGAUGAUGACAGUACCUGACUAAGAAGCACCGGCUAAAUACGUGCCAGCCGCCGC
rnacentral:rRNA from 1 species